UAUGCAUCAGUUCAUGGACUGUCCUCUGUAGAUGAUGAUCUUAUCUCAUCUCUCUCUCUCUCUUCCUCACACUCUCUCCCUUCUCCAUCAGUUCACGGACUGUCCUCUCUCACUCUCAUCUUCUCCAUUUCCCAGACACCUACACAUUUUUUUACGUCUUUUUAUCUCCAUGACACAUCUCCAUCUUUGUCUUAACCUUAUACAUCUCUCCAUCUUCUGAUUUUAAAGGCAACACACACACUCUCUCUCUAUCGUUUCUAUCUACCCUAAAUAUCAUAUCAUGCCUCCUCAAUCAUUAGGUACCUAACUCCUCUUAUUCUUCUUCUCUCACAUUUUCCAGUGUUGAUGUGAGUAACUCUGGCGAGAAGGCGAGAAAGGACACAACCUUGUGAGAGUUUGAGCAGAAGGAGCAAUUUGGAGGUGAUUGCUAAGUAGCAUCGCGGAUCAUCGAAGUAUCUGAAUCCAAGUUUGAAGGUUUGCUGCGUCUUGCAAUAGGAGAAACUAAAUUGAAAUGAGUGGUAACACUUUUUUAAGAGUUCAAUAACCGUUAAACGCGGCCGGUUUAUAUUGAUAUUCGUCUGAGUCCGUUACAGUGCGACUGCGAAUCAUGGACGGUACAUGAUGGGAUUACUGCACAUAUAUAUGUUAAAUAUACUGUUAUAUAAGAACUGAAAGGAGUUUGGGUUAUAUAAGAGCAUUUCCAAUGUAAAAUGUUAUUUCUCCAUUGUAAAAUUAUAUUUUAAGAGGAUUUAGAUGUACAGUACCAAAAUGUUAUAUUUUAAUAAUUAUGUUUUAAUGAUA